GACGAAGGAUGCAAGCGUUAUCCGGAUUCAUUGGGUUUAAAGGGAGCGUAGGUGGCCUGAUAAGUCAGUGGUGAAAUCUCUCGGCUUAACCGAGAAAUUGCCAUUGAUACUGUUAGGCUUGAGUAUAGUUGCCGUUGGCGGAAUAUGACAUGUAGUGGUGAAAUACAUAGAGAUGUCAUAGAACACCGAUUGCGAAGGCAGCUAACGAAACUAUAACUGACACUGAGGCUCGAAAGUGUGGGGAUCAAACAGG
rnacentral:rRNA from 1 species